AUUGAACGCUGGCGGCAUGCCUUACACAUGCAAGUCGAACGGUAACGCGGGGCAACCUGGCGACGAGUGGCGAACGGGUGAGUAAUGCAUCGGAACGUGCCCAGUAGUGGGGGAUAGCUCGACGAAAGUCGAAUUAAUACCGCAUACGACCUAAGGGUGAAAGGGGGGGAUCGCAAGACCUCUCGCUAUUGGAGCGGCCGAUGUCAGAUUAGGUAGUUGGUAGGGUAAAAGCCUACCAAGCCUAUGAUCUGUAGCUGGUCUGAGAGGACGACCAGCCACACUGGGACUGAGACACGGCCCAGACUCCUACGGGAGGCAGCAGUGGGGAAUUUUGGACAAUGGGCGCAAGCCUGAUCCAGCCAUGCCGCGUGAGUGAAGAAGGCCU
rnacentral:rRNA from 1 species